rfam:Triticum urartu cultivar G1812 contig632020, whole genome shotgun sequence.
UAAGUACUCUCUCCGUCCCAACAUUCCCGUCUUAGAUUUGUCUUAAUACGGAUGUAUCAAGUCAUGUUUUAGUAUUAGAUACAUUCAUAUCUAGACAAAUUUAAGACAAAAAUUUUGGGACGGAGGAAGUAUAUA